ACUUACUGAAAAGUAACUGAAUUUUCAACUCAUUUUUAACAGUGUAGUUUCACCAUCCUUGCAAACUUUCGGCAUGUUAAGACUGCGUUGGAAAGCUCGAAGUCUCGGGUUUAGGGAGGUUUUAGCAAUUUCAAAGCGAAAAGUGUGGAAGGUUUUAAAAAGCGAAUUUUCCCGGUUAAAUCUGAAUGUAGUUUAUGCGCCUUCACAAACUUCCGAGUUUUAAAUACCGUGUUUGAAAGCCCAAAACGCCCACUUUAUUUGGUAUUUCAAGACUUUAAAAUGCAUCCCCAACUGGGCUCGUUACGCGGUGAAAAGUGUGGAAGAUUUCAAAAAGCGAACUUUCCCUGUUAAAUCUGAACGUAGUUUCUGCGCUUUCACACACUUUCGAGUUCUAAAAACCUUGUUUGAAACCCCAAAAUGCCCACUUUAUUUGGUAUUUCAAGACUUUAAAAUGCGUCCGCAACUGAGCUCGUUUCGAUGUAAAAAGUGUGGAAAGUUUCAAAAAGCGAACUUUCCCGGUUAACUCUGAAUCUAGUUUCUGCGCUUUAACAACCUUCCGGCUUCUAAAAACUGUGUUUGAAAGCUCACAUCGCCCGCUUUAUUCGGGAUUUGAAAACUUUGAAAUGCGCCCUCAACUGCUCUCGUCCAGAAGUGAAGAGUUCUGAGUGUGUAAAAUUACUUUUCCGAAUAAAUCUGGCCGAACUUUUAGCGCCUUACGGAACUUCCGGCAUCUGAAAGCCGUAUUCGAAAGCUCAAAAUGCGCGAUUAUUCAGGAUUUUAAAGCUUCAAAAUGCGCUUUUAACUUGGCUCGUUCUUAGAUCAAAAGUGUGGGGGGUUUAAAGAAAAGAACUGUUCCAGUUAAAUCCGGUAAGAAUUCUACCGUCUUAUUCGAAAGCCCAAAAUGUUCGCUUCAUUCCGGAUUUUGAAAUUACUAAAUACGCCCUCAACUACUGUCGUCCGGAAAUGAAGAGUAUUGAGGGUGUCAAAUAACAAACUUUUCCGAUUAAAUCCGACCUUCCUUUUGGCGCCUUUAGCCUUUUUAUCCUUUAGCUCACGAAACUUCAGCAUCUGAAGAUUCAGAGCAUUCGAAAGCUGUAAAUCUCCGCAUAGUUCGAUUGUUUUAAUCUUCAAAUUGGACGCUCAAUUGGGCUCGUUCCGAGAUCAAGAGUGUUUAAUUUGUUUAAAUCAUUGUUAAAGCUUUUUCCAAGCGACUACGUUUGGUUUCCGCACAAACAUCAAGUUAUUUUAGUUCCUUAUGGUAAUUGAAAGGCACUUUGUUAAAAUCUCAAACAAAUAGCGCCCAAAAAGGGCGAUAUUGUCGCUAAAGUUGAUGAAAACAUUUUAAGCCGGUUUGGUCCACCCUGUAUCAAACGUUGCAAUCUUACGCAAUUUUAAGAACGUUAAUUUUUUCGUAAAUAAUUCAAGAACGAAACUCGUUUUCAAUACAAUACAGAAUUUAUCAUUAAAUUCACAGCAGUUUUUGCCCAUUUUACCAUUUUCCAAACAAAGUUGGGACGCUCGGUAUAUUGAGGUUUGCAAUAUAUUUUUAAGUGUCUUCAAAGGCAAGUGGGAAUUUGAUUUUCUAAGAGCUCUGGAAAAAAUUACAACUUUUCCAGUCUGAAUGGCACGUUUUUGGAUUUUUCAAGAACAAUGAAAAAAUAGUCUUAACGAAAAAAACACUUUGUUAAGUCUUAAAGACGCAACAAUUUUUUCGCGUGUCAUGCCAUUUGGAUUUAGACCCAACUUGGCACGCUCAGUGUGCAAGCGGCAGCUUCAGUU
rnacentral:lncRNA from 1 species